GACAGCACAGAGCCUGUUGGGAUUCUCCCUCUUCCUCUCCCUGCCCUUCCCCUGCUCAUGCACACACACAUUCUCUCUCUCUCUCUCUCAAAAUAAGUAAAUAAACAUAAAAAAUUCCCCUCAUUCCAAUGUGACAUCUCCCUCCCUGAGGUUGGCUGUGUCUCCUUUUGUGGCCUGGAGCCUUCCAACCUGACCAGGACUUGUCUCCAUACUCCUCAGGACCAUUAGCCUCUAAUGAAUGGUGGUGGCUAAGGGACUUCCCAGAGAAUGCUCAGUAUUUGUGAAUGUUUUUCAGCGCCUGUUCAUAUUAGCUCAAUAGUCACUUCAGAGCUUCAGAGCUGUGGCAGAAAACCAAGAAAAGGCUAUGUGCUGACUUUGUCUCAGGAAUUCAUGGAGACAUAAUUCAUUCAUUUACUGAGUAUUUGUCCCAGGCCUCCAUAGGCUCAGGGCUAUGUGGUGUCUCGCCUAGGGGACCCAGGCUGGGUGUGAUCACAGACUAGUUGCACAGAGAAAAGUUCAACCCCUUGUUGAAGAGCUAAUAAAUCAAUGAGGCCAGAUGAGAUUGCUGAGGAUGUGCAAGUGGAGAGAGACGAGAGGUGAGGAAUCGCCCCUGCCCCAUCUGAAUGUCCCAUUCCUUGGUCUUCUGGGGCCAUCCUCCUCACACCCCACCUUCCUGGGACACUGAUGGAGAUGGGCCUUGGCUAAGCCCAAAUGUGUGUGAUGUUUCAGGAUUCAGCGACCUUUGAGUAAGUGGCAGUGGACUUCCUCGAGGAGGAGUGGGCACCACUGGACCCUGCUCAGAAAAUCUUGCGUAGAGACAUGAUGUUGGACAACUAUAGGAGCCUGGCCUCAGUCAGCUUAAUCUCUUCACUCAUAGAAGCUUUGGUGUGGCUCUGAGCUCGGGUCUGAGGAUCCCCAGUCCCUCCAGGGCACGACGUGAGGGUAUCAUUUCCAUAAACCCAACCUGCUCACCCAUAAGGAGCUGAGGACCAAGAAGAGGAGAGUUCUAAUUGUCCAAGAAACCCGUUCAGGUGAGCCUCAGGCAAAAGGAACUCCAUUUAGGAAAUUUCUAAAAUGUCAUGAUUUUUUUUUGUUGAAGUAUAGUUGACACAGCGUUACAUUAGUUUCAGGCGUACAACACAGUUAUUGGACAGCAAGUUUAUAUGUUAUACUGUGUUCACCACAAGUGUAGCUACCAUCUGUCACCAUGCACCACUAUUACAAUGUCAUCUAAAAUGUUCUCUUGUUUGGGGACUCCUGGGUGGCUCAGACGGUUAAGCGUCCGACUUUGGCUCAGGUCAUGAUCUCGCAGUCCGUGAGUUUGAGCCCCGGGUUGGGCUCUGUGCUGACAGCUCAGAGCUUGGAGCCUGUUUCAGAUUCUGUGUCUCCCUCUCCUGCCCUUCCCCUGCUCUU